rnacentral:tRNA from 2 species
GAGCGAGUCGGAAGAGUUACCGGUCUCCAAAACCGGCGAUUCCAGGUUCGAGUCCUGGGUGCC